GUAGGUGGCAAGCGUUGUCCGGAUUUAUUGGGCGUAAAGCGAGCGCAGGCGGUUUUUUAAGUCUGAUGUGAAAGCCUUCGGCUCAACCGAAGAAGUGCAUCGGAAACUAAAUAACUUGAAUACAGAAGAGGACAGUGGAACUCCAUGUGUAGCGGUGAAAUGCGUAGAUAUAUGGAAGAACACCAGUGGCGAAGGCGGCUGUCUGGUCUGUUAUUGACGCUGAGGCUCGAAAGCAUGGGUAGCGAACAGGAUUAGAUACCCUGGUAGUCCAUGCCGUAAACGAUGAAUGCUAGGUGUUGGAGGGUUUCCGCCCUUCAGUGCCGCAGCUAACGCAUUAAGCAUUCCGCCUGGGGAGUACGACCGCAAGGUUG
rnacentral:rRNA from 1 species